GGGGGACGCAGUAGGAUAGGCGAAGCGUGCGAUUGGAUUGCACGUCUAAGCAGUAAGGCUGAGUAUUAGGCAAAUCCGGUACUCAUUAAGGCUGAGCUGUGAUGGGGAGAAGACAUUGUGUCUUCGAGUCGUUGAUUUCACACUGCCGAGAAAAGCCUCUAGAUAGAAAAUAGGUGCCCGUACCGCAAACCGACACAGGUAGUCAAGAUGAGAAUUCUAAGGUGAGCGAGCGAACUCUCGUUAAGGAACUCGGCAAAAUGACCCCGUAACUUCGGGAGAAGGGGUGCUCUUUAGGGUUAACGCCCAGAAGAGCCGCAGUGAAUAGGCCCAAGCGACUGUUUAUCAAAAACACAGGUCUCUGCUAAACCGUAAGGUGAUGUAUAGGGGCUGACGCCUGCCCGGUGCUGGAAGGUUAAGAGGAGUGGUUAGCUUCUGCGAAGCUACGAAUCGAAGCCCCAGUAAACGGCGGCCGUAACUAUAACGGUCCUAAGGUAGCGAAAUUCCUUGUCGGGUAAGUUCCGACCCGCACGAAAGGCGUAACGAUUUGGGCACUGUCUCAACGAGAGACUCGGUGAAAUCAUAGUACCUGUGAAGAUGCAGGUUACCCGCGACAGGACGGAAAGACCCCGUGGAGCUUUACUGUAGCCUGAUAUUGAAAUUCGGCACAGCUUGUACAGGAUAGGUAGGAGCCUUUGAAACGUGAGCGCUAGCUUACGUGGAGGCGCUGGUGGGAUACUACCCUAGCUGUGUUGGCUUUCUAACCCGCACCA
rnacentral:rRNA from 1 species